GCCAGGCGUGGUGGCGCACGCCUGUGAUCCCAGCACUUUGGGAGGCCGAGGUGGGUGGAUCACCUGAGGUCAGGAGUUUGAGACCAGCCUGACCAACAUGGUGAAACCCCAUCUCUA
rnacentral:sRNA from 1 species